AUCGCUUCUCGGCCUUUUGGCUAAGAUCGAACGUAGUAUCUGUUCUUAUCAGCUUAAUAUCUGAUACGCUCCCGCCAUGGGGGAGCUUGAAUAUUAAACUGUUUUUGGAUCUCGGCGGAGUUUCUUGGGAGCUUGCUCCCACUCUGCCAUGGGUUAACCCAGCAUUGCAGUUCAGCUGGGUUGGCCCUACAGAG